AUUGAACGCUGGCGGCAGGCCUAACACAUGCAAGUCGAACGAGUGGCGGACGGGUGAGGAAUGUCUGGGAAACUGCCCGAUGGAGGGGGAUAACUACUGGAAACGGUAGCUAAUACCGCAUACCAUCGGAUGUACCCAGAUGGGUGUAGCUAGUAGGUGGGGUAACGGCGCACCUAGGCGACGAUCCCUAGCUGGUCUGAGAGGAUGACCAGCCACACGUGAACUGAGACACGGUCCAGACUCCUACGGGAGGCAGAAGUGGGGAAUAUUGCACAAUGGGCGCAAGCCUGAUGCAGCCAUGCCGCGUGUGUGAAGAAGGCCUUCGGGUUGUAAAGCACUUUCAGCGGGGAGGCGUUACCCGCAGAAGAAGCACCGGCUAACUCCGUGCCAGCAGCCGCGGUAAUAC
rnacentral:rRNA from 1 species